CAACAAUGUAUUGAAAGCGUAUAAUACUUACGCGCAUCAAGUUGCAGAGUAUGAUGUGGAAGAUGAAGGAGACACGACCCAGACUCCUACGGGAGGCAGCAGUCGGGAAAUUUUUGCAAUAGGCGAAAGACUGGCGGAGCAAUGCUGCGUGAAGGUAGAAGGUCUGCGGGUCAUGAACUUCUUUUCUCGGAGAAAAAGCAAUGAUUGUAUCCUGGAAUAAGCAUCGGCUAACUCUGUGCUAACAUCCGUGGUAAGACAUAGGGAUGUUG